rnacentral:rRNA from 1 species
CACGUAGGGCGCAAGCGUUGUCCGGAAUUAUUGGGCGUAAAGAGCUCGUAGGCGGUCUGUUACGUCUGCUGUGAAAACCCGGGGCUUAACCCUGGGCUUGCAGUGGAUACGGGUAGACUAGAGGCAGGUAGGGGAGAAUGGAAUUCCCGGUGUAGCGGUGAAAUGCGCAGAUAUCGGGAGGAACACCGGUGGCGAAGGCGGGUCUCUGGGCCGAUAUUGACGCUGAGGAGCGAAAGCGUGGGGAGCGAACAGG